GCUGGGUGUGGUGACACACACCUGUAAUCUCAGCUACUUGGGAUGCUGAAGCUGGAGGAUCAUUUUUUCAAGGCUGCCUGGGUGACUUACUGAGAUUGUGUCUCAAAAUGAAGUGAAAAGGGGCUGAGGACAGAGCUUAGGCAGUAGAACGCUUGCCUAGAAUGUGCAAGGCCCUGGCUUCCA
rnacentral:sRNA from 1 species